rnacentral:lncRNA from 1 species
AGAGCUUCCUGUAAGCGAACCCGUGAAGGUUCCAGGAGGAUGGCGCACCCGGAAAGGGCGUGGAAGCUCCGCGCCCCUUCCCACAGACUUUCCCCCAUCCAUCUCUUCAUCUGGUGUUCAUCGAUAGCCUUUGUAAUGUCCUUAAUAGUAAACCGGAAAACAGUGGAGGAAGAAGAGAAUCACCACAUAUCGUAUUUAGAGGUCCUGCAGAAAGGGCAGAGCGAGUUUCAUGUUUGAGUGCAGCGGAUGCAUGGGCAAAGCAUUACACAGCCGCUCCAUGGAAGUGACAAUGAGCCUUGUCUUUCACACGUAACUCCAGGAACCAGGGGAAACAAAACCAAUUCCACCCAGAGGUAAAUAAAAAUCAAAGAGCGUUCGAGGCAGCCGCAUUGACUCACCUUGCAGACAAGCAAGCAGAGCCGCAGAGCAGUGACCCGUGCCCAGCGCCUCGCAGCUAGAGCUGGAUUGGAAUCCAGGGCUUUGCAGGCUUCCUGCUUCACUCAAUCCUCUUUCUGUUGCCUCUGGCCUCAAGGUGUUGGCCCCUAGAAUCACUCUCAAAUGUAAGAUCAGGGAACUCCCUCUAGACUCAAGGGUGCCUGAGAGGCCACGUGGUUUUUAGACUCUCCUGGUUCAGCUUCACCACCUGAUGCUCUUCCCUUCCACCUAGAGCUUUUCGCAGCCCACAAAAGAUGUGCUCCAUGAUUCCAAAACAGAAAGGCUUCUGGUUAGGAGAGAACACUAAGGCAGCAAAGUAAGCCCUCAAUCAAAAUCCCUCAUUCACUAGCACUCUUUAGAAGUAGAAAUCAUUGGGACGCCCAAAUGCUUCUGAAAAAGUUCUGUGGUGCAUCCAAAGAUCAUCCCAGUAGUUUGUUUGCCUUAAAAGUAUUUGUUAAAACAUAAAAACUGUAUGUCUACGUAAGUGAUUUUCAAUCCUAGCUGCAUAUUAAAAAUCCCUGAAGAGCCUUUAGAAUAGGCCAGCCUUCAG